rnacentral:rRNA from 1 species
ACUCCUACGGGAGGCAGCAGUGGGGAAUAUUGCACAAUGGGGGAAACCCUGAUGCAGCCAUGCCGCGUGUGUGAAGAAGGCCUUCGGGUUGUAAAGCACUUUCAGUAGGGAGGAAGGUAGUGUAGUUAACAUACCUGCAUUAUUUGACGUUUACCUACAGAAGAAGCACCGGCUAACUCCGGUGCCAGCAGCCGCGGUAAUACGGAGGGUGCGAGCGUUAAUCGGAAUUACUGGGCGUAAAGCGCAUGCAGGCGGCCUGUUAAGUCAGAUGUGAAAGCCCGGGGCUUAACCUCGGAAUUGCAUUUGAAACUGGCAGGCUAGAGUCUUGUAGAGGGGGGUAGAAUUUCAGGUGUAGCGGUGAAAUGCGUAGAGAUCUGAAGGAAUACCAGUGGCGAAGGCGGCCCCCUGGACAAAGACUGACGCUCAGAUGCGAAAGCGUGGGGAGCAAACAGGAUUAG